UAUCAAUAAGCGGAGCACACGGGCCCCUGCCUUGCCCUAGUUGGAACUUGAAGAUUGCUGCCUUGGGGUUGGCUCUUGUCUAUGUUUCUUGGAACAGGACGUCACAGAGGGUGAGAAUCCCGUGCGAUGAGAUGCCCAAUUCUAUGUAAGGUGCUUUCGAAGAGUCGAGUUGUUUGGGAAUGCAGCUCUAAGUGGGUGGUAAAUUCCAUCUAAAGCUAAAUAUUGGCGAGAGACCGAUAGCGAACAAGUACAGUGAUGGAAAGAUGAAAAGAACUUUGAAAAGAGAGUGAAAAAGUACGUGAAAUUGUUGAAAGGGAAGGGUUUGAGAUCAGACUCGAUAUUUUGUGAGCCUUGCCUUCGUGGCGGGGUGACCCGCAGCUUAUCGGGCCAGCAUCGGUUUGGGCGGUAGGAUAAUGGCGUAGGAAUGUGACUUUACUUCGGUGAAGUGUUAUAGCCUGCGUUGAUGCUGCCUGCCUAGACCGAAGGACUGCGAUUUUAUCAAGGAUGCUGGCAUAAUGAUCCCAAACC
rnacentral:rRNA from 1 species